rnacentral:lncRNA from 1 species
CUUAUGACAGCAAAGGGGAAACAUCAGCUCCAGGGAGCCCCCAUGUAAAUGGGGAGUUGAACGAAAGAUCAGGAAUAAUGGAACGUGUAUUUAGUUCCAUUUUCGUCCCUAAAAGGGCCCUGUCAGAGUAAUUUCUCCUUCCGUGCACUAUACCUUGCCAUUAUUUACAAUAUCUUCUUGGGAGAAUAAAACCCUGGAGCCCUCCUCCUCAUCUCCCCCUCCCCGCCUGGUCUCCCCCUCCCCGCCCCCUAUCAAUUGUGUCUCUUUCUGGAGUUUGGCAAACACAGCUACUUCCUCCCGCUGUGCUUUCACUGGAGCUGAAAUGAAUGUGGCUCUAGUUAUUUCUUUCCCUUAAUCAUUCUUUUUCUUUUUUGUUGGAGAGCAUUUUCACGAAGCACAAUCACAGAGGAACAGAAUGUCCUGAUAUUUGGGGGCCUCAGAGUCUGAUCACCCAGCACAGAGACUUCUCAGGACGUGCCACAUCAAGACUUCCCCCUCCUGUGUCCAUCAACUUCUGUGCCUGGUGGUGAGGAGACUUGUGAUUCUAUCCAGGAAGAAUAAAUCAUGUUGGCUUGCAAUGACUCCUCUCUGGACCUUUUGGUAUGAACUUGAUGCUCAGUCAGUACGCAAUAAGAAGUUGGUGUUAGUAUGGGAGAACAUGCUUCUAUCUUAGUUCCUUUACUUACUCUCCAGGUAAUCUUGGGCAAGCACCUUAACUUCUCUAGACCUCAAUUUCCUGUUUCUGAAAAACAGCAGGAGCAAG